CCUACGGGUGGCUGCAGUGGGGGAUAUUGCACAAUGGGGGAAACCCUGAUGCAGCGACGCCGCGUGUAGGAAGACGGUCCUCGGGAUUGUAAACUACUGUCCCCAGGGACGAAGAUGACGGUACCUGGGGAGGAAGCUCCGCCAAACUACGUGCCAGCAGCCGCGGUAAUACGUAGGGGGCGAGCGUUGUCCGGAAUUACUGGGUGUAAAGGGAGCGUAGGCGGGGAUGCAAGUUGGGUGUAAAAUCUACCGGCUCAACUGGUAGUCGCACUCAAAACUGCAGCUCUUGAGUGAAGUAGAGGUAGGCGGAAUUCCUAGUGUAGCGGUGAAAUGCGUAGAUAUUAGGAGGAACACCAGUGGCGAAGGCGGCCUGCUGGGCUUUUACUGACGCUGAGGCUCGAAAGUGUGGGGAGCAAACAGGAUUAGAUACCCGAGUAGUC
rnacentral:rRNA from 1 species